rnacentral:lncRNA from 1 species
ACAUGUAAUCAAAGACUAUGGCCAGAUGAAAAUUAUAUGUCUCCCUGGCUAUGCAAGGAUAUUAGGCUGAAAAUGAUUACUGAUUUAACAUGUGUUUGAUCUUUGAGGACAGUUUAUAUUUUGCGGUCGGUAGACUAUAAAAUUAAGUUAUAUACUAAAAAUUGCAUGUAUUCUUUUGUGAUUAUAAGAAGCUUCUAAUAUUAA